UACGGGGGGAGCAAGCGUUGUUCGGAUUUACUGGGCGUAAAGGGCGCGUAGGCGAUCUGACAAGUCUGGUGUGAAAGCCCACAUGUUAACUGUGGAAGUGCAUUAGAAACUGUUGGAUUUGAGUUCAGGAGAGGAAGGCAGAAUUCCCGGUGUAGCGGUGAAAUGCGUAGAGAUCGGGAGGAAUACCAGUGGCGAAGGCGGCCUUCUGGACUGACACUGACGCUGAGGCGCGAAAGCCAGGGGAGCAAACGGG
rnacentral:rRNA from 1 species